rnacentral:rRNA from 1 species
GAUGAACGCUGGCGGCGUGCUUAACACAUGCAAGUCGAACGGUGAAGCCAAGCUUGCUUGGUGGAUCAGUGGCGAACGGGUGAGUAACACGUGAGCAACCUGCCCUGGACUCUGGGAUAAGCGCUGGAAACGGCGCCUAAUACUGGAUAUGAGCCUCUUCCGCAUGGUGGGGGUUGGAAAGAUUGUUUGGUCUGGGAUGGGCUCGCGGCCUAUCAGCUUGUUGGUGAGGUAAUGGCUCACCAAGGCGUCGACGGGUAGCCGGCCUGGGAGGGUGACCGGCCACACUGGGACUGAGACACGGCCCAGACUCCUACGGGAGGCAGCAGUGGGGAAUAUUGCACAAUGGGCGAAAGCCUGAUGCAGCAACGCCGCGUGCGGGAUGACGGCCUUCGGGUUGUAAACCUCUUUUAGCAGGGAAGAAGCGAAAGUGACGGUACCUGCAGAAAAAGCGCCGGCUAACUACGUG